rnacentral:rRNA from 1 species
CAUAGCGGAGGGAAAGAAACUAACAAGGAUUCCCCUAACCGGCGAGUUAAGUGGGAAAAGCUCAACUUUGAAAUCUGGCAGCUUCGCGUCCGAGUUGUAGUCUCGAGAAGUGUUUUCCGCGCUGGAUCGUGUAUGAGUCUGUUGGAAUACAGCGUCAUAGAGGGUGAGAACCCCGUUCGUGACACGACUACCAGUGCUUUGUCGAUACGCUUUCGAUGAGUACGAGUUGUUUGGGAAUGCAGCUCAAAUUGGGUGGUAAAUUCCAUCUAAAGCUAAAUAUUGGCGAGAGACCGAUAGCAAACAAGUACCGUGAGGGAAAGAUGAAAAGCACUUUGGAAAGAGAGUUAACAGUACGUGAAAUUGUUGAAAGGGAAACGCUUGAAGUCAGACGUGCGCAGUGCGAUUCAGCUCUGGUUCGCCACGGUGUAUUUCGUACUAUUGCAGGCCAGCAUCGGUUUUGCGAGCCGGAUAAAGGUAGAGGGAAGGUAGCGGUCCAGGCCGUGUUAUAGCCCUUUACUGAAUACGGAUUGCGAGACCGAGGGACGCAGCGCGCCGCAAGGCAAAGGCUUCGGCCUUUACGCGCUUAGGAUGCUGGUGAAAUGGCUUUAAGCGACCCGUCUGAAC